rnacentral:lncRNA from 1 species
CUGUUUAUCCGUAUGCUUGCCGGUUUGAAAUUGAACUGGAAACACGGUUUUGAUCUUCAUUUGGACUAAUUCUCAACGAUGGUUUCUUCUUUUUUAUUUAUUUAAAUCAAUAAUAAUUUUCCAUAUUUCGGUAUGGGCGGUCCAACCAUUCAUAUGAGCAUUUCAAGUUUGAAAGGUGAAAGAUCUCUCUCCCCAUGUGAUACUGUAACUCUAACAACUUAUUCAGUCCAACUUUGCAUAGAUGUGACAUUGAUUACUAAAGAGGAAAUAUUGCUAAUCAAAGUGUUCAAAUUUAAUGCACAUGCAGGAAACUAUACGUAUGUAGGGGAACACUCCAUUUUAUGUCUAAGGAGUAUAGCAUAUGGCAUAAUACAAAAUGUUGCUUGAUCCAAAAACACUAAAAUAAGUAAAACAAAAGGAAAGGUUAAGAUGUCAGCAUGAUACGAAACCUUGUGAUGCAACAUGCUCUCUCCAUCUCAUGACUGCAUACCCCUGUACUCUCUGAUCAGUAUCACAUAAUUUAGUUUUUAUCAUGAGAUGUGUGCUAGAAUGUUAUGGUAAAAAUAAUUAUUUAUAAGUUUUAUAGUCACAAUUGCAUAACCUAUCUAGAUAAUAACUAGCAUCAAUAGUCAACUUUUUAAAAUGUUGUAAAUCAUAAUAUAUUCUUAUUUUAUAGAAUACUUUAUUUUAUGUUAAUAUAUUUCAGAUUUUUUACACAGGAGAGGUAAGAUGCAAAAAAAUAAUAGAGACAAGACUAAUUGCAUUUCUUUAUGCAUUUUAUGUUUUUGAAAAACCUGUCUUUUUCUUGCAAGCUGUAUUCGGAAUAUUUUAUUCUAAUAAAUAGUAAUAUUUAAUUUUCAACCUAAAUAUUCACAUCGAUUUGAUGCAGAUUUUGCGCACUCCGUAUGACUUGAUUGAGUUAUGUAGGUUUCAAUUUCUAAUCCGAAGCAUUAAGCAUGUCUAAACAUACACAAUGGCGUAUUGUAAUCAUUUCUCCUUUCUCUGUAAAUAUUUCUAACGCUAUAUAUUUGUCAAAUAUGAUUACCUUAUUAUAUAGUUUUAUUUAUAAUGGAAAACAUGGUAAUAUAAUUAUUUAAGUAAAUAACACUAGAUUUCAAAUAAAAAAACAGUUAAUAAGACUACAAAAUGAAUGUCAUACAUUGUUUAUUUUGUAGUGCACCAUGACUUUGGACUAAGAUAUUGGAUACAUCUCUAGUUAUAAAAAGCUACAUUUGAAGAAUAAUGCAUGAAGUUAUAGGAAUCUAACUGACGAAAGUCUGAUCUCCUGAUUCUAUUAAGUCGUCUCUGGUUUCUGAAAAGUUUUUCAGUUUGGAUUUGACUAGUUAUGGAUUAUAUGUUCAUUAUCUCGGGGAAUUGACACUUCAUUAGCCAAUUAUGUUUAGUUUUCCUCGAUUGCAUGAAGUUUGGAAUUUAUAGAGUUAAAAGCUAGUGUUAAUGCUAUUCUCUCUUCUACAUAAAGAGGUUUUAGUCUUGAGUUUGAAUGUUUUUUAUUUGAUUGGUCAAAGUUCACGGGAAUGAAAUAGAGAUGUCAGAACUUUUAAUUGUUAAUUAAGAACUUUGCGUUGUCGAAUUAUUUUUAUGUUUUCCGUGUUUAUACGCAAAACGUAAUGAACCAAGGAAACAAUCUAUCUGUCAAGAUAUUAUCAUGCUUGGGAUAUGUUUUGAUAGUAAAUGGUAAAAUAUAUUGCAGUCACGUCUAUUAUAGAAGGCAGUGUUAUAAAUUUAUCUACGAGAAAAAAAUAUUAAUUUAAUGGAUGAAUACUGUAGACUUCAUAAAAUGUUGGCAUAUAUAUACAAGCAUUUUAUCCCAAGAUGGUCGAAUUGCAAUUUGUCUUUUGGUUUACUAAUUGGAACUUGUAUGCGCUAUAAAAAAAGUUAAUGUAGAAUCUCUCUUCUUUGUGCUGUGGUUUUGACUUUGUCAUCGUAUCUAUUGAUUUUUUGUUUUUUCAUGAUGAACUUGAGUUGGAAACCUAUCCUAUAAAUGUUAUGCCAGCGACCAUGUUUAUGCCCAAAUGCCUUAUUCAGAUAGCGGUUUACUCUUGUUCUCAAUCAGAAGUAACCACCACAUGUAUACAAGUAAAAAUGCAUAUUUGGUGUGAAACAGUGUACUUAGAAGUACCUUAUCCGAACUUGUCCGUAAGUUCAUUUUCCAGUCUUGGUUGCGGAUGUUGCACAUUAGUCACUUCCUCAAGCAACUUACUGAUAUUUUGGUUGUGUCCUGCUUCAUUGGAAAGUAAGUGUUUUCAGUACGCAACUUAUGAUGAGACUAAGUCGAUAACCAAACUUUAAUUACCACAAGUCACAACUAACAUUGGUAUUGGAUUUCACCUAUAGUAUUCUAUUGGUGCAUUUGCCUCGUACUUCCAUGUUAUUAUAUGAAUGAAUCCCCUCUAGUGCAGGAUUGGUCAUGUUUAAAUAUUGUUAUAAAUUUUAAAUUAUAAAUAUUUCGAUCUAAUACAAUAAGAAAUAAAUACAUGACACAAAUGGGUAUAGAGCAGUAGAAAAGUAUUUUUGCUUUGGUUUCUGACAAGAGAUGCUGCCUCCUAGUGUUUGUCGUACAAAAUUUACCUUCGAAAUAUAAAAUAACAAGCGUUAAUGUGGAUGCAAAAUGGUAGUAUCAUGUGGAACGGCUCUAUAUUUAGCAAUUAAAAGACCUCUACUGUGUAUGUACGUACAAGUUUUGGGCACAAAAUGAAGCCAAAGGAAAUAGGAAUUUGUUAAUUCUUUUGUUUCCCAACUGUAAAAUACUUACUCAGACCACUUUACCAAUUGCCACCGACGUGGGUGAUAGUGGCGACCUCCGUGUUCUUCCCGCUUUAAUUCUUUCUUUCUUUCUUUCUUGGAUUCGUAUUCUUUCUCAUGCAAUGAAAAGUACAAUAGCAUAGUGGACUUGUGCCAGUGCCAACGCGAAAGCAAGGGAAUAAACUCAAACUCCAAUGGCUUCAUUGAUAAAUCUUGGCGUCUAUAUAUUACAAUUCAACUGUAUCCCUUGUUUUGAUUAACAAAUUAUUUUAACAUGGCAGCCUUUUGUUAUUUAGCCCUAGCAUAUUGAGCUCUAUUAAAAAAACUCAAAAUAACACGAAAAUCCAGCUUGUAUUUGAGUUUUUGCCCUGGUUAAAUUGUUUUGCAGAUAUGAAAGGUUCUUUUUAUCAUAGACGCAUAACGGAUUGUUACUACAUUAAUUUGAAGUUAAAAGUACUAAAACUGACAGACAUAUGAGGGGAUAGCAUAUAUAUACACACACCUUGAUUUCAUAGCCGCAGCGUUUGAAAACUCUAAUGAAAACAGCUUCCCGGUGUCACAAGGAUCGAUCAUAUAUAAGCUAGGCCUCAGUAGUGGUUUAUGGUGUUG